rnacentral:lncRNA from 1 species
AAAGAAUGAUCGAGAAUCGCUUACGCAGUUCCAUCUUCAGCUGUGAGAACCCGUGAAACUUCUGAUCUCCAAUCAAUCACGAUUCACAAGAGGAAAAUAAAUAAGGAAUUUUGCAAGAUCAAGGAAAUGCCAUUAAAAUGGAGAGUGAAAAUUUCUAUCCUUUUACCGGAAUAUGCCCCUUUUGUUACUAACCUUGGGCUGAUGGAUUUGGGCCAUGAAUGUAGAACCUGAAGGCCAGCAUACAGAAGAUUUUGUAUGUAAGACUACAAGAACAGAC